GUACCUGCGGGGUGGAGCAGUUCGACGUUCCGGGCGUCGAGGCCGCUGGUUCGAGUCCAGCCGGGGGCAC
rnacentral:tRNA from 1 species